CAUGCUGCCGCUGCCGCCGCGCCUUCGCCUCCUGCUCCGUGAGGGGCUCCCGCCGCUCCCCCAGGAUCCCCCAGCCCCGCGUCCCCCUCGGCCCACGCCGCCCUUCACCUUCGCCCCCCGCCGCCUCCGCCUCGGCCCCCAACACCCGCUCUUCGAGGAUGGGGACGUGCACAGGCACCUCUACCUGCAGGGCGUCCUCACCAGCCUCGAGGAGGUGGCCGAGAGACCCAAGGUGUCCGAGUUCAGCUGCCACAUCUCUGGCUGCAGCCAGGUGUUUGACACGCUGGAGAGCUACGAGCACCACUACAACACCCUGCACAGGAACGUCUGCUCCUUCUGCAAGCGCUCCUUUCCCUCUGGGAAUCUCCUGGAUAUCCACAUCUUGGAGUGGCACGACUCCCUCUUCCAGAUAAUGGCUGAGAAGCAAAAUAUGUACCAGUGCCUGGUGGAAGGCUGCACGGAGAAGUUCAAGAGCAGCAAGGACAGGAAGGAUCACUUGGUGACCGUGCACCUUUAUCCUGCUGACUUUCGGUUUGACAGGCCCAAGAAGGUGAAAAGUGGCUCCAAGCACACAAGCUCUCCAAUGGAGCAGGGCACCAGUGUGCCCAUGGAUGUGAGCGUGGAGAUGGCAGAGCAGUUCCAAGUGAAUCCCAUGGAAACAGGGCCUGAGGAGAACAUGGAGAUCUCUCAGCCUGCAGCCAGCCCCGGCCCCUCGCUGCCGGAGAAACGGCUCUACAAAUCCAGGAUCCCAUCCACAAUUUGCUUUGGACAAGGUGCCACCCGAGGAUUUAAAGGACCACGGAAAAAAGUCUGAAGGUCAGUGCAGCAGAUUUAUGCAAGAUGAGCAGGCAUGGAGCCAGUGCCACCAGGGAUAUUUCCAGUUCCCACUCCGUGGAAUAAACCACCCAAACCAAUGGAAGCUCUGCCAGCAUUUGGGCACAUGCUCCUGAUGUCAAACAGAACUGUCACCACCCGACUGAGUGAAGAAUCCUCAAGAUUUGAGGAAGGGGAACCCAGAAGGUGUGGUGAGGUGUUAAGGAAACUGUCCUGCAGCUGAAGCUGCACGGGACUGGGUGUUUUAUUUUUUGCCUUUUGAGAGUAAAAAAAAUGGAUUCAAGAAGUUACAAGAUGACAACGUGACUGUAUGGAAGCUGGAAUAACUGAGAAAAGAAAAUGGAGGAAAAAAAACCCCAUUGGUUCUUAGUUCUGACUUCCUCCAUCUUGCUGAAGUCUCCUCUGCACCCCGGCACCUGCUCUGAAAGGUUUGUCCGGGCCAGGAGAAGCAUUUUCACUGGGAGUUAAAAUAAAGUGACUUCCAACCAGAGAUCGUGCGCUGGCAGGAGGACACGGACCUGCCUAUCCUGGAGAGCCCUGGGGUGCACGGGGUGCUGCCGUGUCCUGGAGCAGCAGCAGCACCUGGGUCCACCCAGGGCUGGGAGGGACACGUGGGAUGGGCGACAGCAGGACCUGGG